rnacentral:rRNA from 1 species
GACGAACGCUGGCGGCGUGCCUAAUACAUGCAAGUCGAACGCAGUGGGGACGGGCGAGUAACACGUGGGUAACCUCCCUUCAGAGGGGAUAACACUUGGAAACAGGUGCUAAACCGAUACUGAUGGAUGGACCCGCGGUGCAUUAGCUAGUUGGGUAGGGAAAGGAUCACCAAGGCCACGAUUAAUAGCCGACCUGAGAGGGGUCUCGGCCACACUGGGACUGAGACACGGCCCAGACUCCUACGGGAGGCAGCAGUAGUGAAUCUUCGGCAAUGGACGAAAGUCAGACCGAGCAGCGCCGCGUGAGUGAAGAAGGUUUUCGGAUCGUAAGCCUCUGUUGUGAGAAAAGCGGUAACUAACCAGAAAGCCACGCCUAACCACGUGCCAGCAGCCGCGGUAAUAC